UGCCGUUUUUCACCUCUCCCACACACACUCUAUAGGUGCUGUCGGCAAGAUCCAUUGGUUGCAAAGAGAUGCCCUUUAUGAAAAUUUUAAAUUAAAAGAUCGGAUUUCCUGUAUUCUGUUGCAUUUUGGGGAUGGCCGUAUACCUAUUUACCUACUAUUCAUUCAGAUGCAUAGCCUACAUCCUGACUUGCAGGGCCUGGACAAGCUUACACUGCAUAUACAGACCUACUUUAUGGCCAUUCCACCAGCCAUUGCUAUUUCACCCAUUGUUGCCGAAAGACUAAAUUAAUAUGUAACUUACUUGCUCCUUUUAAGUAUAAUAUUGCUUGGGGAGUCCAAUUCCUCCACUGAAAAUGGUGGAAAGUCUCACAACUCUGCUAGUUAGCGAUCUCUUCUCUGCAUGUAGCCUAUUUGAUUGAUUCGCUGAAUUGUCUAAUCAUGAGGUGA